AGAGAUUAGAUUCCCAAUUUUAGUUUAGAAGCUGAUGUACAGAUUGGAUUCAAGGGUCAACUGCAACCAUCGUAAGUGAUUACGUCAGCAUCUUGGUCCACUCGUUUGUUUCUCAGCAUGCUGAUUGCGAAAAGGUUGUAUACCACAUUUAUAAUAGACGUGGAGUCCAUUAAUAAAAUGGAGUCCAUUUUUAUUAGAGAGGUAAUACACAAUGUAAUAUAAAAAUAUGGUAAAUCUAGCAUUUUUCUUGCUAAAAACGCUCAU
rnacentral:lncRNA from 1 species